ensembl:snRNA U6 U6 spliceosomal RNA
GUGUUCUCCCUUCAGCAGCACAUAUCCUAAAAUUGGAAGGAUACAGAGUUUAGCACAGACCCUGUGUAAAGAUGACACAAAAAUUCAUGAAGCAUUCUUAUUUGUU